rnacentral:rRNA from 1 species
AACCUCCGCAAUGUGAGAAAUCGCGACGGGGGGAUCCCAAGUGCCAUUCUUAACGGGAUGGCUUUUCAUUAGUGUAAAGAGCUUUUGGAAUAAGGGCUGGGCAAGACCGGUGCCAGCCGCCGCGGUAACACCGGCAGCUCUAGUGGUAGCAGUUUUUAUUGGGCCUAAAGCGUCCGUAGCCGGUUUAAUAAGUCUCUGGUGAAAUCCUGCAGCUUAACUGUGGGAAUUGCUGGAGAUACUAUUAGACUUGAGACCGGGAGAGGUUAGAGGUGCUCCCAGGGUAGAGGUGAAAUUCUGUAAUCCUGGGAGGACCGCCUGUUGCGAAGGCGUCUAACUGGAACGGUUCUGACGGUGAGGGACGAAAGUUAGGGGCGCGAACCGGGAUUAGAUACCCGGGUAGUCCUAACUGUAAACGAUGCGGACUUGGUGUUGGGGUGGCUUUGAGCUGCUUCAGUGCCGAAGGGAAGCUGUUAAGUCCGCCGCCUGGGAAGUACGGUCGCAAGACUGAGACUUAAAGGAAUU